CAGUCGCCACGGUAAAACGGAGGAUCCAAGCGUUAUCCGGAAUCAUUGGGUUUAAAGGGUCCGUAGGCGGUCUUGUAAGUCAGUGGUGAAAGCCCAUCGCUCAACGGUGGAACGGCCAUUGAUACUGCAGGACUUGAAUUAUUGGGAAGUAACUAGAAUAUGUAGUGUAGCGGUGAAAUGCUUAGAGAUUACAUGGAAUACCAAUUGCGAAGGCAGGUUACUACCAAUUGAUUGACGCUGAUGGACGAAAGCGUGGGUAGCGAACAGGAUUAGAUACCCCAGUAGUCCCUGUCUCUUAUAC
rnacentral:rRNA from 1 species